rnacentral:pre_miRNA from 1 species
UAUAAAAAAUUCAUCUACUUGUAUUGUUAAAAACUAGGAUGCCUGCUGAAAUAACCAAACAAUGACAUCGUGUGCCGUGUGUACGGCAUGCUAAUGUAUAGAGACCGGUUUUUAAUAGUAGAAAUGGAUGAAAUUUUUAAUA